rnacentral:rRNA from 1 species
GAUGAACGCUGGCGGCGUGCCUAAUACAUGCAAGUCGAGCGGAAAGACGCGGAGCUUGCUCCGCGGACGUUAGCCGAGGACGGGUGUGUAACGCGUGUAUAACCUCCCUAUAAUACGGGGAUCAUUUGGGAAAACCGGAUCAAAUACCGGAUAAUCUAUUGAACCGCGUGGGUCAAUAGAGAAAUACGGUUUUUCUGUCACGUAUAGAUGGUUCCGCGCCGCUUUGGCUAGUUGGUACGUUAACGGCUUACCAAGGGAACGAUGCGUAGCCGAACGCUGAGGCUGAUAGGCGACCUUGGAACUUGGCCAGGCUCAAGACGCCUACGGGAGGCAGCAGUAGGGAAUCUUCCGCAAUGGGCGAAAGCAUGACGGAGCAACGCCGCGUGAGUGAUGAAGGUCUUCGGAUCGUAAAACUCUGUUAUUAGUGAAGAACAACUGUGUAAGUAACUAUGGACGUAUUGACGGUACCUAAUAAGAAAGCAACGGCUAACUACGUG